rnacentral:rRNA from 1 species
UACGAAGGGGCUAGCGUUGCUCGGAAUCACUGGGCGUAAAGCGCACGUAGGCGGAUCUUAAGUCAGGGGUGAAAUCCUGGAGCUCAACUCCAGAACUGCCUUGAUACUGGCGACCUUGAGUUCGGGAGAGGUGAGUGGAACUGCGAGUGUAGAGGUGAAAUUCGUAGAUAUUCGCAAAGAACACCAGUGGCGAAGGCGGCUCACUGGCCCGAUACUGACGCUGAGGUGCGAAACGUGGGGACAACAGGG